UACGAAGGGGGCUAGCGUUGCUCGGAAUGACUGGGCGUAAAGGGCGCGUAGGCGGAUGGUACAGUCAGAUGUGAAAUUCCUGGGCUUAACCUGGGGGCUGCAUUUGAUACGUGUUGUCUAGAGUGAGGAAGAGGGUCGUGGAAUUCCCAGUGUAGAGGUGAAAUUCGUAGAUAUUGGGAAGAACACUGGUGGCGAAGGCGGCGACCUGGUCCUUUACUGACGCUGAGGCGCGAAAGCGUGGGGAGCAAACAGG
rnacentral:rRNA from 1 species